rnacentral:rRNA from 1 species
GAGGGMAAGYCUGGUGCCAGCAGCCGCGGUAAUUCCAGCUCCAGUAGCGUAUAUUAAAGUUGUUGCAGUUAAAAAGCUCGUAGUUGGAUUUGUGGUGUCUUGUUUUUUUAUUUGCUUUUUUUGGUCUCUUUUUCAUUGUUUUUAACUUUGAAUCUGAGACUUGGAAGCGAGGACACCAUCCUUGACAGGUUUGAAAGUGAUAUUAUAUCACCGCAAACAUUGUCAUCCUUUACUUUGAAAAAAUUGGAGUGAUUCAAGCAGGCAAGAAUUAUAAUUUUAAUUUUAAUUUAACUUUGCUUCUGCACAUGUUAGCAUGGAAUAAUGCAAGAGGACUUGGGUUUUCUCUUUCAUUGGUUUCAGGAAUCCGAGUAAUGAUUGAUAGGGACAGUUGGGGGUGCUCGUACUCGACGGCCAGAGGUGAAAUUCUUGGAUUCGUUGAAGACGAACAACUGUGAAAGCAUUCACCAAGGAUGUCUUCUUUAAUCAAGAACGAAAGUUGGGGGAUCGAAGAUGAUCAGAUACCGUCGUAGUCCCAACCAUAAACGAUGCCGACCAGGGAUCAGCGAGCGUUGACUUGGCGUUCUCCAUUUUCUCUUUUUUGAGAAUUUUGUAGAUUUUGCCAACCUCAUUAAUUUGAAACGACCUCGUUGGCACCUUGCGAGAAAUCACCAGUCUUUGGGCUCCGGGGGGAGUAUGGUCGCAAGGCUGAAACUUAAAGGAAUUGACGGAAGGGCACAACCAGCAGUGGAGCCUGCGGCUUAAAUUGACUCAACACGGGGAAACUUACCAGGUCCAGACAUCAUAAGGAUUGACAGAUUGAAGAUCUUUCUUGAUUUGAUGGUUGGUGGUGCAUGGCCGUUCUUAGUUGGUGGAGUGAUUUGUCUGGUUAAUUCCGUUAACGAACGAGACCUCAACCUGCCAAAUAGGUUGUUCCCUUGCUGUUCUUUAUGGCGAGGGUGGUUGUUUGUGUUUCUUCCUUCGUUUUACGUUUGGUGAGAAGUACACAACUAUGACUGAUUCAUUUCUGUGAAUCAUGAUCAUACAACACUUCUUGGAGGGACUAUCAGUUCGCAUCUGAUGGAGGUUUGAGGCAAUAACAGGUCUGUGAUGCCCUUCGAUGUCCUGGGCUGCACGCGCGCUACACUGAUACAUGCAUCAAGCAGUUCAAUCAUACUGGACAUAAUUUUUAUGUUUAGUGACACCUUUGCUGAUAGGCAUGGGGAAUCUUUGAACUUGUAUCGUGAUGGGGAUAGAUGAUUGCAAUUAUUCAUCUUCAACGAGGAAUUCCUAGUAAACGCGGCUCAUCAAGCCGCAUUGAAUACGUCCCUGCCCUUUGUACACACCGCCCGUCGCUGCUACCGAUUGAAUGGUUCAGCAAGUUCCACAGACUGGCUCCUUUCCUUGCUUUUUACGAAGUUGGAUAGAUGAGCCGGGAAGUGGCGCAAACUUGACCAUUUAGAGGAAGCAAAAGUCGUAACAAGG